rnacentral:rRNA from 1 species
AGCAGCCGCGGUAAUUCCAGCUCCAAUAGCGUAUAUUAAAGUUGUUGCAGUUAAAAAGCUCGUAGUUGAAUUUCGGGAUCAUCAGGUUGGUCGUGCCAUUGGUAUGUACUAGCUUUGGUGGUUCCUACCUCUUGAAGAACCGUAAUGUCACUAACUUGGUGUUGCGGGGAAUCAGGACUGUUACUUUGAAAAAUUAGAGUGUUUAAAGCAGGCAAACGCUUGAAUACAUUAGCAUGGAAUAAUGAAAUAGGACGUUUGAUCUUAUUUUGUUGGUUUCUAGGAUCGACGUAAUGAUUAAUAGGGAUAGUUGGGGGCAUUAGUAUUCAAUUGUCAGAGGUGAAAUUCUUGGAUUUAUUGAAGACUAACUACUGCGAAAGCAUUUGCCAAGGAUGUUUUCAUUAAUCAAGAACGAAAGUUAGGGGAUCGAAGACGAUCAGAUACCGUCGUAGUCUUAACCAUAAACUAUGCCGACUAGGGAUCGGAUGAUGUUAAUUUUUAAUGACUCAUUCGGCGCCUUACG